rnacentral:rRNA from 1 species
AGUGAACGCUGGCGGUAGGCCUAACACAUGCAAGUCGAACGGCAGCACAGUAAGAGCUUGCUCUUACGGGUGGCGAGUGGCGGACGGGUGAGGAAUACAUCGGAAUCUACUUUUUCGUGGGGGAUAACGUAGGGAAACUUACGCUAAUACCGCAUACGACCUACGGGUGAAAGCAGGGGAUCUUCGGACCUUGCGCGAUUGAAUGAGCCGAUGUCGGAUUAGCUAGUUGGCGGGGUAAAGGCCCACCAAGGCGACGAUCCGUAGCUGGUCUGAGAGGAUGAUCAGCCACACUGGAACUGAGACACGGACCAGACUCCUACGGGAGGCAGCAGUGGGGAAUAUUGGACAAUGGGCGCAAGCCUGAUCCAGCCAUACCGCGUGGGUGAAGAAGGCCUUCGGGUUGGAAAGCCCUUUUGUUGGGAAAGAAAAGCAGCAGGUUAAUACCCCGCUGUUCUGACGGUACCCAAAGAAUAAGCACCGGCUAACUUCGUG